rnacentral:rRNA from 1 species
UAUUAGAGGCAUUGCCUGCCCAGUGACUAAAGUUAAACGGCCGCGGUAUCCUGACCGUGCAAAGGUAGCAUAAUCACUUGUUCCUUAAUUAGGGACUAGCAUGAAUGGCCAAACGAGGGUUCAACUGUCUCUUAUUUUUAAUCAGUGAAAUUGACCUUUCAGUGAAGAGGCUGAAAUUGUAUAAUAAGACGAGAAGACCCUAUGGAGCUUGAAUAACUAAUUUAACUAUUAAAUUUACAAAUCUAAUGACUCAAAAACUAUAGUAUAAAUUAAAUAUUUUGGUUGGGGUGACCUCGGAGAAUAAAAAAUCCUCCGAAUGAUUGUAACAUAGACCAACAAGUCAAAGUAAUACUCAUUUAUCUAAUUGACCCAAAAAUCCUUGAUCAACGGACUAAGUUACCCUAGGGAUAACAGCGCAAUCCUAUUUGAGAGUUCAUAUCGACAAUUAGGGUUUACGACCUCGAUGUUGGAUCAGGACAUCCCAAUGGUGUAGAAGCUAUUAAUGGUUCGUUUGUUCAACGAUUAAAGUCCUACGUGAUCUGAGU